rnacentral:rRNA from 1 species
UAGCAUAAUCAUUAGUUUUUUAAUUGAAGACUGGAAUGAAAGGUUUAAUAAAAAAUAAUCUUUAUUAUUUUUAUAUAAAUUGAAUUUGUUAUUUUAGUAAAAAAACUAAAAUUUAAUAAAAAGACGAUAAGACCCUAUAAAGCUUUAUAUUAUUAAUAAAAGUAAUAAAUUAAAAUAUUAUAAUUAUUUUUGUUUUUAAUAUUUGAUUGGGGUGAUUUAAAGAUUUAUUUAACUCUUUAUAAUUAUAAUUCAUUUAUUAAUGAUUAUUUUGAUCCUUAUUUAAAGAUUAAAAAAUUAAGUUACUUUAGGGAUAACAGCGUAAUUUUUUUAAAGAGUUCAUAUCGAUAAAAAAGAUUGCGACCUCGAUGUUGAAUUAAGAUAAAAUUUAGGUGUAGAAGUUUAAUUUUU